AUAAUUUAGUUGCAAUUAUCAUGAAUGUGUACCAAUGAUAAUGCGCUUCGGAAUUAAAAUUAAAAAGAUAAUAGUUUCUGUGAGAAUUUUUAAUAUUAGUGCAGUAUUAAACGCCAAAUACUGACGACAUAGUUGUGUUUACGAGGCAGUCACCAUGAGGCGAUCGACAAAAGUCAUCUCGCUGGUCAAGCAGUCAGAUAAGGGAGAAAUCAAAACAUGUUCCAGAUUCAUGAAGAUAUACUUCUUCGUGAUUUACAUUCUUACUGGAUUCAACUUCGGUUUCUACACCGGCUGCGGCCUCAACUUCUUGCGAGUCAUACAAGCUUCAGUCUUAUUACUGAGAUCGAUCAUCGCUUCAUACAGCAUUUAUGUCGCGAUUCAUUUCCGGGUCCUGGAAGCAAUUUGGUACUGUUUGACUUUCAGCGAAAGCUUAAUGGUAGUGGUCUGCUUCAUGCUGAGUAGAUCUGCUCUGAGCUGCAAGAGCCUGUUCGAGUACUUGUACAGUGUCGACCAGGAGUUGAAGAAGAGUGUCGGUCCCAGCAUCGAAGUGAAGCUCGUGCUGUACACGGUCGUGGUGAGCGUGCUGAGACUGACUGUCUACGUGUUCUGUGCUAUCGCCUACUACGAGAGCCUUCACGAAGGAUUUUCCGUCGAGUUAAUCUACAACACACCUUGUUACUGCUCGGAUCUGUAUCUCGUGGUACACUUUACAAUAUUUCAUUCGGUUUACUGUCGACUGAAGGCGCUGAGAAUAUCUAUGAACGAGAAAUUUGAUGUUUACAAAGGUACUCUCAUAUACAAGUCGUUGAUUGAUAAUUUGGAAGAAAUCAAAAAAAGUUUGGAUGUUCCGGUAAAUAUUUAUAGCUCUGUUUCAGUAGUUUUUAUUUGCUGAUCUUUUGAUUACGUUAAUAUAAAUCUGAACUUUGUAUUUGCUCAGUGACUGUUCAUGAUCCACUCGAUUGUUCUAGUUCUUCGUGAUCCUACUAAACGCAGUAGCCAUAGCGAUGAUAAAUAUUUUGGUGACUUUGGAAAUUUCUUAUGGACAAACGGUACGUAGAAUCUUAGACAUUGGCUUUCAGAUUACCAAAUUUUUAGAUUCAGUUUAAUAUUUGUAACGAUGUUUAUCACAGAAUUUAAGGAAUCAGGCAAAAACCUGCAUUAUGUGCAUGAGGUAUACCUAGUCAGGUCAUAAAUUCUGUCACAUGUUUAAUGUAAAAUAAUUGAAACAAGUUUAUUCAUUAUGUAACCAUUCAUAUACCAAAAUGAACUUAACAAAACAUAGAUUCUUAUGACACUAAAGUUUAUUCAAAAUGACCUCCGUGAUUUUGAAUACAGGCCUUCAAUCUGCGCGGCCAGUCGUCCAAUUGGGAUGAGGCUUUGAGCACGCCUUUUCCUCCAAGUGUUGCCAUAUCUUGUAAUCUAACGGAUUCAAAUCUGGACUGGAGGAGGGCCAGUCUUCGUGCCGGAUGAAGUCGAUUUCACGCGCCGCCAGCCAGUCUUGUGUGCUCUUCGCUCUAUGAGCUGGCGCCGAAUCUUGUUGGAAUACCCAGUGCCUGUUAUUGAACAUGGUAUGAGAAACAGGUUCCACAAGGUUCGUCAGGACUGUAUUUUGAUACACAACUACAUUCGUUUUUACACCUUUCUCACAAAAAUGUACCUCUGUUAAGCCCCAAUAAGAAACUCCCAACCAUACCAUGAGCGAGGAUGGAAAAUGACCUCGUUGGACACGCGGAAUAUGGAUGCUCGCUUCUUCACUACUGUGUGCGUACACCUUAUCAUUUUGUUUGUUGUAGCUCUCUUCUACGGUAAAAAAUUUUUCAUCCGAAAAAAGAAUUUCCCGAUAUUUUUUUCCCGCGUACCGGUUGAACAAAGCGCGGAAUCUCUUCAGUCUCAGGUCCAUUAGACGAGCAUUCAAACGAUGUUCUGUUUUUUUGAUAUGCCCGAAGCCCUAAGUCUUCAUUUAACACCCUUUUCACCGUGGUUCUGCUUAACCCCAUCUGAAGGGCCAACAGUUUCUGCUUACGUUUGGGAUUUCUUUGAAUUCGCGCCUUCACAGCUUUUAUCACUGCUGGAGUCCUAACAGACCGAGGGCGACCACUUCUUGACCUGUCAUCUACACUAGAAUCUUCAUUGUAUCGUUUGAUGGUACGAUAAACGAAUCUUUUGGUUAUAUUCAAAUUUUUCAGUAUGUUAAAAAUUUGAAUUAGCGCGUAACCGCAACGAUGCAACGCAAUAACUGCAACACGGUCUUCUUUAAGCGUCCACUCCAUAUUUAAAAAUGAGUAAAAUUCUAAAAGUAUACAUUUUUAUUUUCAUGAACAAUUCGAGAUUCGAAUUCAAUAAACUUUUUUGUGGCCAGCAUUCUAAAAGAAAAGUUUUUACUGUGUGACAAUACUUAUGACCUGACUCAGUCAGUAGUUCACCACUCGUCAUUUUCUUCAUUCUUCAACUUUUCAACUUCAAAGUACCUCUUUCAUUUAUCUCUUAUUUCCUUUAAUUUGUUAACACUCUUCCUGCACUAUCUUUCAGGCAUUUAAUGUGGCUAAAAUCUCUUCCAUCCUUCUCUCUUGCAUUGGCUAUCCUAUACAGGUGUGUUUGUCCUUCAGGUCUUUCUAGCGGCUCAUACAAUGCAUCUUGUGCCUUGGUCCUGGUAAUAUCUACAUACUUUUUAGCUGGCUUCUUACUUUCUUUAUAUGCUGUCUUUAACUUCUAUUUCGUAACCAAAUCUGGGAAAUAUAUGUCUUCUGUAAUUCUAUAAAGGUCUUUUUCUUUUCUUUAAGUGCUUUUUGAACGUAGUCGCUAUGUCAUCAGCUAUCUUUAUCUUUAAUUUUCUUCCCCGUUAAUAUUUCAAACAUAUUAUUCUAUAAUAUAACAAAUAAUAUAUAUGCUUAAUAAGACUAUCUACAGUUUUCCUAUAAAAUCUCAGAUCCUAUAAAUUAUUUGUAAGCUAAACUCAUGCCGUUCAAUAACACAGUGGAGGGCCGGUAGUGUUCACCCUGCGCACUGUCAUUGUGUCGUUUAUUAGUUGAGAAGACGAGCUCAUCGCGCAGCAGGUGUGAACUAGUUACCAAAGUCUGUACAAAAUAUCAAACAUAAAUCUUUAACAAAAGUUUACAUAUUUCAGAUGAAAUUUAUUAGGACAGCAUCUCGUUAUCUGGAAACUGUCCUGCUGUUCUCGUCUGCGUUCGCGCCAGUGCUCGCGGCGGACAUGAUGGCGAGCGAGGCGCAGAAAAUAAAAGUCACUCUCAACAACAUUCUACAGACAGACGACUCCCUGCUGGAAGAUGAUCGUCGCAAAGUGAAACAGUUCGCGGGGUACGUCUCGGCUCGGCCGUUCCGGCUCCGCGCGUGUCGGGUGCUCUCGCUGGACUGCACGCUCCCCGUGACCGUGCUCAGCAUCUGCGUCACCUACCUCAUCGUGGUCGUGCAGUUCACGCAUCUCUACUGAUCUCUGCUCCGCUGUGCCGUGCUAUGGUCCGCGUGGAGUAAAUCGGCGUGUCGCGUCCAAGCCUCGCAUUGUUUUAUUAUACGUAAUAAAUGUGUUUGAUUGUUCAA